rnacentral:lncRNA from 1 species
AGAAGCAGGGAGCUCUGUUUGCAUCAAGUCAGAUAAAAGGUUUUAACGGCAAUGAAGCACUGGACUUUUCAGAUUUAUCGGAUGUUUCUCUUGAGAUAGUCGUUUAAUUUCCCAGAGGAGCUGCCCUCAGAUUCCAUCCUGGAUACUUCAAAGUCUAUUUUGCCUCAUCAGUGAGGAGUUCACAUCACUCUGUGAUCAAGGACAGGAUCUUCCUUCUCACUGACCCAGGUAUCAUUGAGGAGGUGGAAAGUGUCCAAGAGCAGAGCUACACAGAAACUGUUCUUCAGACACCUCAGCAACAUAGGAGCUCAAGUUGAUCACGACAGGAUGCAUAAGGCCCAUGUAAGCUCAAAGCAGACAAAAUCCCAACAUGAAGAGACACCCUAUCCUCAAG